rnacentral:misc_RNA from 1 species
UCUCCGUAGGUGAACCUGCGGAGGGAUCAUUACAGAUUUGUCGCUCCUGCGAGUAUAUCUCCCACUCACUGUGAUUGAUACUGUGUUACUUUGUCUUCCCGCUGGGCCCUGCCCGUCCGCCGGCCCCGGCUGGUGCCCCCUUGCCAGAGGCUCCGCAAACUCUGAAUGUCAGUGUCGUCUGUUUACACUAUAAUAGUUAUAACUUUCAACAACGGAACUCAUGCUUCUGGUCUCGAUGAAGAACGCCUCAAAUCCGAACACCACACGUCUGAACUCCAG